AAAUUGAAGAGUUUGAUCAUGGCUCAGAUUGAACGCUGGCGGCAGGCCUAACACAUGCAAGUCGAACGGUAACAGGAAGCAGCUUGCUGCUUUGCUGACGAGUGGCGGACGGGUGAGUAAUGUCUGGGAAACUGCCUGAUGGAGGGGGAUAACUACUGGAAACGGUGGCUAAUACCGCAUAACGUCGCAAGACCAAAGAGGGGGACCUUCGGGCCUCUUGCCAUCAGAUGUGCCCAGAUGGGAUUAGCUUGUUGGUGAGGUAACGGCUCACCAAGGCGACGAUCCCUAGCUGGUCUGAGAGGAUGACCAGCCACACUGGAACUGAGACACGGUCCAGACUCCUACGGGAGGCAGCAGUGGGGAAUAUUGCACAAUGGGCGCAAGCCUGAUGCAGCCAUGCCGCGUGUAUGAAGAAGGCCUUCGGGUUGUAAAGUACUUUCAGCGGGGAGGAAGGUGUUGUGGUUAAUAACCGCAGCAAUUGACGUUACCCGCAGAAGAAGCACCGGCUAACUCCGUGCCAGCAGCCGCGGUAAUACGGAGGGUGCAAGCGUUAAUCGGAAUUACUGGGCGUAAAGCGCACGCAGGCGGUCUGUCAAGUCGGAUGUGAAAUCCCCGGGCUCAACCUGGGAACUGCAUUCGAAACUGGCAGGCUUGAGUCUUGUAGAGGGGGGUAGAAUUCCAGGUGUAGCGGUGAAAUGCGUAGAGAUCUGGAGGAAUACCGGUGGCGAAGGCGGCCCCCUGGACAAAGACUGACGCUCAGGUGCGAAAGCGUGGGGAGCAAACAGGAUUAGAUACCCUGGUAGUCCACGCCGUAAACGAUGUCUACUUGGAGGUUGUGCCCUUGAGGUGUGGCUUCCGGAGCUAACGCGUUAAGUAGACCGCCUGGGGAGUACGGCCGCAAGGUUAAAACUCAAAUGAAUUGACGGGGGCCCGCACAAGCGGUGGAGCAUGUGGUUUAAUUCGAUGCAACGCGAAGAACCUUACCUGGUCUUGACAUCCACAGAACUUUCCAGAGAUGGAUUGGUGCCUUCGGGAACUGUGAGACAGGUGCUGCAUGGCUGUCGUCAGCUCGUGUUGUGAAAUGUUGGGUUAAGUCCCGCAACGAGCGCAACCCUUAUCCUUUGUUGCCAGCGGUCCGGCCGGGAACUCAAAGGAGACUGCCAGUGAUAAACUGGAGGAAGGUGGGGAUGACGUCAAGUCAUCAUGGCCCUUACGACCAGGGCUACACACGUGCUACAAUGGCGCAUACAAAGAGAAGCGACCUCGCGAGAGCAAGCGGACCUCAUAAAGUGCGUCGUAGUCCGGAUUGGAGUCUGCAACUCGACUCCAUGAAGUCGGAAUCGCUAGUAAUCGUGGAUCAGAAUGCCACGGUGAAUACGUUCCCGGGCCUUGUACACACCGCCCGUCACACCAUGGGAGUGGGUUGCAAAAGAAGUAGGUAGCUUAACCUUCGGGAGGGCGCUUACCACUUUGUGAUUCAUGACUGGGGUGAAGUCGUAACAAGGUAACCGUAGGGGAACCUGCGGUUGGAUCACCUCCUUACCUUAAAGAAGC
rnacentral:rRNA from 4 species